ACUUGCUCAUGGUCACACAGCAGGCUCCUUUUCGCCCUCUGCCGGCUGACAGUGGCAGAACCCAGCUUUCUGGUUGCUAUGGGUACCGAGGUAACGCGGUAACCAAGGAGACCAAGACUCAAACUCCCGGCAGCUAUCCGCGGCCAUCCGGCAGUGACUCGAGAGGCUGGGGUCUCCAGCCUUUAGUCUGCCUGCGCGCUCACAUGCACCCACUUCCUUCUGAAGUCUACUCCUCACAAGUAAAGGCUAUGGUGCGGGGUGCCUGAUUCCUGAGAAAUCUGAAGAUGUGGAAGUUUAUUUUUUUCUUCCCAAAAUCAGCAGUAGAGGGAAUCAGAAGUGUUUACAAAUCAGAAUAACUUUUAGACAAUAUUAAGGUGGUAAUCAUGAACAGAAAAGAUUUUGUAGUUCUUCCAUGGGGAAAACCUGGAAAUUCUGUAAAGCUAAAAUAUAGAAAUGCUCAAGAACUGCGAAUGGAGAAAGUACAGUUAGAGUUUGAGAACCAAGAGAUGGAGAAGAAACUGCAAGAAUUCCGAUCCACAAGAAGCAAAGAAAAGGAAGAAAGAGAGUGGG
rnacentral:sRNA from 1 species